UGGUGAUGGUUGCAAGAAGGACACACCUGUUCCCAUCCCGAACACAGCAGUUAAGCUUCUUAGCGCCGAUGGUAGUUGGACCUUGGGUCCUGUGAGAGUAGGUCGUCGCCACGCU
rnacentral:rRNA from 1 species